UACGUAGGGGGCAAGCGUUGUCCGGAUUUAUUGGGCGUAAAGAGCGUGUAGGCGGCCGAGCAGGUCCGUUGUGAAAACUGGAGGCUCAACCUCCAGCUGUCGACGGAAACCGCACGGCUAGAGUCCGGAAGAGGAGAGUGGAAUUCCUGGUGUAGCGGUGAAAUGCGCAGAUAUCAGGAAGAACACCCGUGGCGAAGGCGGCUCUCUGGGACGGUACUGACGCUGAGACGCGAAAGCGUGGGGAGCGAACAGG
rnacentral:rRNA from 1 species